rnacentral:rRNA from 1 species
CCUACGUGAGGCUGCAGUGGGGAAUAUUGCACAAUGGGGGAAACCCUGAUGCAGCGACGCCGCGUGAGUGAAGAAGUAAUUCGUUAUGUAAAGCUCUAUCAGCAGGGAAGAAAAUGACCGUACCUGAGUAAGAAUCCCCGGCUAACUACGGGCCAGCAGCCGCGGUAAUACGUAGGGGGCAAGCGUUAUCCGGAUUUACUGGGUGUAAAGGGAGCGUAGACGGCAGGGCAAGUCUGGAGUGAAAGGCGGGGGCUCAACCCGCGGACUGCUCUGGAAACUGUACGGCUGGAGUGCAGGAGAGGUAAGUGGAAUUCCUAGUGUAGCGGUGAAAUGCGUAGAUAUUAGGAGGAACACCAGUGGCGAAGGCGGCUUACUGGACUGUAACUGACGUUGAGGCUCGAAAGCGUGGGGAGCAAACAGGAUUAGAUACCCUAGUAGUC